ACUGAAAAAAUAUUUAAACUAAAUUUUAUACAUGUUGAUCAAAAUGGAUUUCUGCCAAAGAGGCAAAUCAAGGAUAUGUGAGAAUAAUUUUGAUUACUGUGGAAUAUUAUGAAACACAUUCU